rnacentral:rRNA from 1 species
UACAGAGGUGGCAAGCGUUGUUCGGAAUUACUGGGCGUAAGGGCGUGUAGGCGGCCAACUAAGUCCGACGUGAAAUCCCCAGGCUUAACCUGGGAACUGCUCGGUAUACUGCCGUUCUCGAGGCAGGUAGGGGUCACUGGAACCUUAGGUGGAGCGGUGAAAUGCGUAGAUAUCUAAGGGAACGCCUGUGGCGAAAGCGGGUGACUGGGCCUGUCCUGACGCUGAGACGCGAAAGCGUUGGGAGCGAACAGG